rnacentral:rRNA from 1 species
AUGCAUGUCUAAGUACAAGCUGUGUCUGACACGGCGAGACCGCGGACGGCUCAUUAAAUCAGUCGUGGUCCAUAUGGGCCAGUGUUGAUCCUACUUGGACAACUGUGGUAAUUCCAGAGCUAAUACAUGCAACUCUUAUCCUGAAGGAGCGUCAUGCUCUCUGAUGGAUGCUUUUAUUAGACCAAACCGCUGGGUGCGUGGUGCUUCACUUCGGUGUUCUCCCGUUUGACUCGUGUGAUGGUGACUCUGAAUAACAUUUUUCUUGACAAGCGCAAGUACCCCUCUUAUGAGUUGGGACGGCGCUACCACUUUCGAGUGUCUGACUUAUCAGCUAUCAACCGUUCGUUAUGUGCGACCGAUGGCUUUGACGGGUAACGGGGAAUCAGAGUUCGAUUCCGGAGAGGCAGCCUGAGAGACGGCUACCACGUCCAAGGACGGCAGCAGGCACGCAAAUUACCCAAUCCCAGCACCUGGGGGAGGUAGUGACGAAAUCUAACGAUGCGGGCGCCCUUUCUGGGGCCCCGCAAUCGGAAUGGCCACUUUCUAAAAAACCUGUUGAGAACCUACUGAAGGGCAAGUCUGGUGCCAGCAGCCGCGGUAAUUCCAGCUUCAGUAGCAUCUAUUAAAGUUGCUGCGGUUAAAAGGCUCGCAGUUGAAUGUCAGUACCGAGCGCAGGUCAGGUGGACGCUGGGGCGUGGGAAUACAAGGCGUGCG